AUAUUUGGCUUUUGAGAGGGUGGUGAUGCAAAAGUAGGAUGUGCAGGUGGAGGAGCUGAAUGGUGUGACUGUUGAGGAUGAUCAUUUCUCCACCUAAAGUUUGGAUGAUUCUUCCAACCAGGGUUAUAGGUAUUCGAGUAUGGCUUUUGGUAGGAGUUCAUAGCAUUUGCUUGAUCGUGCAAGACUUCUUUGAAUGCCGGUAUGGUGGGGCAAUCUGUAGUGGUAUGACCCGACAUAUCGCAGAUGCCACAACACUCGUUU
rnacentral:lncRNA from 1 species